GCAGGGCUUGAAGCCUAGGCACCAAGAGGGGGCCGGUUAGAUUGGUUGAAAGGGACAUGGAGACCAGAAGGGCUUCUUUCCAGUUCCUUCUUUGUGGGGAACAUUGGGAUCAGAGAGGGUUCUAAGCUCAUUUCAGAAGCCCCAACAUACUUAAAUGAACAUGGCUAGAAAAACUGAAGAUUGAAUUUACUAAUCAUUCCUUGCUUCUCAUUUGUCUCAGGAUUAAGCUUUGGAGGGUGGAGAAUAACCCAGUUGAAAAUCUACAAGCAAUGCUGUCCACAUCCCAAAUAGACUGGUCAAAAAGCCUUCAUCCCGUCAGUCACUGACAUCAACUUCAUCCAAAUCAGACUCCUAAAAACCCGGCCUAACUUAUGUGUCAUGCAAAGGAUGGCUCUUGGAAAAAUGCAAAGAGUGGUCAGGAGAAGAAACCAACAAGAAAUGUAACCUACCUCCAGAACUCAGGAACUCAGGUACCCUUAAGGAUAUCAGAAACAAUGAAAUAUGGAUUGGCAGAAGCAUCUUCACCACCAUCUUCAGAUGUAAUUAAUGCAGCUGUUGAAUUUGGUUGACUAUCCACCUAUAAUUACCACAUUGCCCAUUACAGAUUUUUGCUGCCUUUUCUUGCCUCCUUUUCAUUUUUACAUCCACUUAUUCCCUACAGAAAUGACAGAUAAUCAGCAUUUUUGUUUUCUUGUUAUGUUGUCCUGAUAGUACAGCUACAAAUGGAUUUGAUGUGCUGAAUAAUGGUCUACUAGGCCUAAAAAUGAAAGUCUAGACCCUUAGUCAAAAAUAACUUGGAUCUAUGUGGUACCAAGAAAAGAGGAAUUAUAAGAAAAAGAAUAUUAGUUUAAUGUUCUGUAAAUUUUUUUCUUAACCUAUUCUGUCCAGUAUUUACUACUUGGCUGCAUUCCUAAAACAUAAAUUUCACAGGGGCAGGAGUCUUUGUCCAUUUUGCUCAUUAAUGUGUUAGGAAUACUAAAAAGAGUGUCUAGCGGGGUAGUCACAUAAUAAAUACCUGUUGCAUGAA
rnacentral:lncRNA from 1 species